GGGGAUGUGGCUCAGUGGUAGAGCUCUUGCCUAGCAUGCAUGAGGCACUGGGUUCUAUCCUCAGCAACACGG
rnacentral:tRNA from 1 species